GAUCAACAAUCAGCUCAAUUGUUGCCCAUUGCUCACGUGAGGUUGUUAGGCACAGGCUACCUGGAAUGUCAUAAUUUAGCGGCCAGACUUGGGCAGACAUUAUCUGUUGCAGAUUCACCACCCGGUAAGGUGGCUGUACCUUAUGUGCCUCAGAUGUGUUUGGCAGUAUGGCAUCCUUCUCCUAGAUUCCAUCAGGUUGAAACUGGGGCAUGGUCUGAGAGCUCUCGGAAUGAUGGAGUCAGAAGACAGCCUGAUUGCUGCCUGAUCCCCCAGGCAUCGGCCUUAAUGAAGACUUAAUUCAGCUGCGCUGUGCACGUCGUCAGCCCCGGCCCAUGUGUUCUGUGGGUUCCCAUUCCACAGUGGGGCACGGGGGUGGCAGGGAGCCCCUAACGGCUAUGAGGACAGAAGCAAGGCGACUGCAGAGAUGACUGCUACCUGAAGGAAGACAAGUCAGAGCAAAGCUGCUGUGCAGAAGUGCCAGUCCCCUCUCCUGUGCUCAGAUGAAGGACAUUAUCAGUAGCGGCUGCUGAGCUGAAAAUUAAUGGGGUGGAAAACUUCUCCUUAAACUGAUUAUUGCACUCAACCUGUUUUCAACCAUUUUGCUUGAUUAACAAUACAACAAUUAAUUCACAAAAUACUCAAUACUAUCAAAUAUAGGCAGACCUCCUCAAAUGGACUAUUAAGCCCGUAAUAAAAUUCUUUGUACUUACAUCACAAAAUUGUGCACAUUUUAUUUACGUUAUUUAAAACUGUGCAUGCAUGUCCUGUUUGUUCUCCUCACUCACACACAAUUCACAGAUUUUGCCAUUUAAAUGAUCUUGAAGCACACAUUCUGUUGGUAUUUAUUGCAGGUUUUGCUGAAA